GCGGGGCCCCGGACAGCGCUCGGAUUGGGCGAGGCCGCCCUCGUGGGCGGGGCCAGCAGCCGCGCGCUGGCGGGAGAGGCGGGGCAGGGCGGGAUCCCCCCGGUCGGUCGCGCCCGGAGCUCCUCCUCCCCACGUUCCUCCGGGAGCAGGAGCAUGGAUCAUGUCUGUGGUUUAAUAAAGCAGCACCUUGUUGUCCAUCCAGAAGAAAUUAGACAAGCGGGAAAAUAAAACUAUUACAUUUGAAGUCAUUAUCUAA